UUCUCACUUCUACUGCAAUGAUUUUGACUCGUCUCACACUGCUGAUGAAAUUCAUUGUUUUGUUUUCAGGAUAUCAGUUUAUACUGUCUUGGUGUUGUCAAAAGUGAUGAUGUGAACAUCAUUGGACAAAACUUCAUGACUGGUUAUAACAUGGUCUUCAAUCGAGAAAAGAAUGUUUUGGGUUGGACGCCAUCCAACUGUUACAACGAAAGCAGCACCAGCAUUUUCCCAGUUAGCCCACCCACAAAUUCUGCAGUUCCACCAGC